rnacentral:rRNA from 1 species
AGUGAACGCUGGCGGUAGGCCUAACACAUGCAAGUCGAACGGCAGCACAGUAAGAGCUUGCUCUUACGGGUGGCGAGUGGCGGACGGGUGAGGAAUACAUCGGAAUCUACUUUUUCGUGGGGGAUAACGUAGGGAAACUUACGCUAAUACCGCAUACGACCUACGGGUGAAAGCAGGGGAUCUUCGGACCUUGCGCGAUUGAAUGAGCCGAUGUCGGAUUAGCUAGUUGGCGGGGUAAAGGCCCACCAAGGCGACGAUCCGUAGCUGGUCUGAGAGGAUGAUCAGCCACACUGGAACUGAGACACGGUCCAGACUCCUACGGGAGGCAGCAGUGGGGAAGAUUGGACAAUGGGCGCAAGCCUGAUCCAGCCAUACCGCGUGGGUGAAGAAGGCCUUCGGGUUGUAAAGCCCUUUUGUUGGGAAAGAAAAGCAGCAGGUUAAUACCCCGCUGUUCUGACGGUACCCAAAGAAUAAGCACCGGCUAACUUCGUG